rnacentral:rRNA from 1 species
ACGCUAGCGGCAGGCCUAAUACAUGCAAGUCGAACGAGAUUAUCCAGUUUGCUGGAUAUGAAAGUGGCGCACGGGUGCGUAACGCGUAUGCAACCUACCUUAAUCAGGGGGAUAGCCCGAAGAAAUUCGGAUUAACACCGCAUAAAAACACAGAAUAGCAUUAUUCAAUGUUCAAAUAUUUAUAGGAUUAAGAUGGGCAUGCGUGUCAUUAGCUAGUUGGCGGGGUAACGGCCCACCAAGGCGACGAUGACUAGGGGAUCUGAGAGGAUGACCCCCCACACUGGUACUGAGACACGGACCAGACUCCUACGGGAGGCAGCAGUAAGGAAUAUUGGUCAAUGGAGGCAACUCUGAACCAGCCAUGCCGCGUGCAGGAAGACGGCCCUAUGGGUUGUAAACUGCUUUUAUCUGGGAAUAAACCUUUUUACGUGUAAGAAGCUGAAUGUACCAGAAGAAUAAGGAUCGGCUAACUCCGUGCCAGCAGCCGCGGUAAUACGGAGGAUCCAAGCGUUAUCCGGAUUUAUUGGGUUUAAAGGGUGCGUAGGCGGCCUGUUAAGUCAGAGGUGAAAGACGGUAGCUCAACUAUCGCAGUGCCUUUGAUACUGACGGGCUUGAAUAAACUAGAGGUAGGCGGAAUGAGACAAGUAGCGGUGAAAUGCAUAGAUAUGUCUCAGAACACCGAUUGCGAAGGCAGCUUACUAUGGUUUUAUUGACGCUGAGGCACGAAAGCGUGGGGAUCAAAC